rnacentral:rRNA from 1 species
UACGUAGGCAGCAAGCGUUGUUCGGAUUUACUGGGCGUAAAGGGUGUGUAGGUGGUUCUUUAAGUUUGGUGUGAAAUCUCCCGGCUCAACCGGGAGGGUGCGCCGAAUACUGAGGGACUAGAGUGCGGGAGAGGAAAGUGGAAUUCCUGGUGUAGCGGUGAAAUGCGUAGAUAUCAGGAGGAACACCGGUGGUGUAGACGGCUUUCUGGACCGUAACUGACGCUGAGACACGAAAGCGUGGGUAGCAAACAGG